rnacentral:rRNA from 1 species
AGCGAACGUUAGCGGCGGGCCUAACACAUGCAAGUCGAACGCGAAAGGUCUUCGGACUGAGUAGAGUGGCGCACGGGUGAGUAACACGUAGGUAAUCUACCCUUUGGCGGGGGAUAACGUUCCGAAAGGAGCGCUAAUACCGCAUAAGACCACGGAGUCUCCGGACGCUGUGGGAAAAGGUGGCCUCUUCUUGAAAGCUACCACCGAAGGAUGAGCCUGCGUCCCAUCAGCUAGUUGGUAAGGUAAUGGCUUACCAAGGCGAAGACGGGUAGCUGGUUUGAGAGAAUGAUCAGCCACACUGGCACUGGAACACGGGCCAGACUCCUACGGGAGGCAGCAGUGAGGAAUAUUGGGCAAUGGGCGAAAGCCUGACGCAGCCACGCCGCGUGAGCGAUGAAGGCC